rnacentral:piRNA from 1 species
UACCAAAGGGGCAAUUGCCAGGCCACAGGAAC